rnacentral:rRNA from 1 species
AUUGAACGCUGGCGGCAGGCCUAACACAUGCAAGUCGAACGAGCGGCGGACGGGCGAGUAAUGUCUGGGAAAGUGCCUGAUGGAGGGGGAUAACUAGGGGAACCGGUAGCUAAUGCCGCAUACAAUCGGAUGGGCCGAGGUAGGAUUAUCUAGUGGGUGGGGUAAAGGCUCACCUAGGCGACGAUGCCUAGCUGGUCUGAGAGGAUGACCAGCCACACUGGAACUGAGACACGGUCCAGACUCCUACGGGAGGCAGCAGUGGGGAAUCUUGAACAAUGGGCGCAAGCCUGAUACAGCCAUGCCGCGUGUAUGAAGAAGGCCUUCGGGUUGUAAAGUACUUUCAGCGGGGAGGCGUUACCCGCACAAGAAGCACCGGCUAACUCCGUGCCAGCAGCCGCGGUAAUAC